UUAGUAUUCCUCCGUCCAACAAAAUAUGUUUCAAGUUUGUCAAAAUUUUGAUGUAUCGAGACAUGACUUAGUGUAUAGAUGCAUUCAAAUUUGAUCAAAGUUGAGACAUCUUUUGUUGGACGGAAGGAGUAAAAC
rfam:Brachypodium distachyon strain Bd21 chromosome 2, whole genome shotgun sequence.